UUAUUCGCACUGCGACGUAGAUAUCAGGAAGACAAUCACCCCAUUGUCCAAAGAGAAACAAUACUCCCAAGAUUUAGAAGAGAUCAAGGAACCAAUUAAUGGUAAAACCUCGAAAAUCCAUUCAGAAGAAGAAUGCAUUAGCGAAGAGUCCACACAAUCUAUCCAUGAUAAAGCAAGUAAACCAAAGAGGAAAGAGGGUAAAACGAAAGAGGGAGCCAUCUAUUGUGUUUGCUCAUUUCAAUCAUACGAAAAUGGGAUGAUUGUUUGCUUGGAAUGUAAAAGAUUUUCACAUGCUGAAUGCUAUGGUGUAUCAGAUAUUGAAGUUAAACACAUCUGUGGAACAUGCGCCAAGAAGAAAAGCAUCCAGUGCACAAGCGAUAAUGUAAAAGAGUUCAUAGAAAAGGAAAAUAAGAGACAGAAAGACCACUCAAACUUUGCUUUUGGUCUGAUGCUGAGAAGAGUUCUAAACUCUGUACUGAAAGAAGAAUACAAAUCUACCCAACCAGGAUUAGAACCAGGCGUUAAUUUUCUGAGAAUCAGGUUUGGAAUGAGCACAUCAUAUGCCAACAAAAUGCACUCCAUCUCGUUCAAAAUGGUUAUGUCAAUUUCUUUGGAGGAUUCAAGGUCGACACCAAUAGAAUUAAACAAUUCUUAUAUCCAGAAAACGGUAAUGAAGAUCAAGAACUACCAAUUGUUAACGAUUCAAGAGCGAUAACACCACCGAUAAAGGAGUCAAAAAACGGGGGUGUAGGAGCAAAGAACAGAGGAACAAGGAAAGAGAUUACCUUUACUCCGGAUAAGUAUGAAGAACACGAAACAGAGGUUGCCCUGGUCUCAAGGGAAAAGGAAAAGGAAGAUACUCCUAAUGAUUCUAAUGAUGAAACUGGGAGAUCUAGGAAUCGUGAAGACUAUGAAGAUCUCGGAGAAGGUAGUUCACGUAACCCUAAUUUUACAGAUUCAUUUCAAAAGCUUUUUAAAAAACAAUUCCUGUGGCCUUCCAGAUUCCUAGAAAAAGAAACCAGAAGACAAGGUGAACCAGUUGAGCCCAUAGAGGUCGGUAAUAUAGGUAAACACUCCAAAAGAGCUUUCUACGGACAAAUUUUAGAAUCAAGCGGACCUAGACUAAAUAGCAAAGAGAAGAUUGGAUACAACAUUGUAUUUUCUGUUGGACGAAAUGGAGAGUCAGUGCAGGUAUGGUCCUUUGGAACAGAAGAAGAAAUCAAUAAUCUGUCCAAACUUAUUGUUGAAGAUAAAUACAUGGUAUUCUGGUCGUAUGAGGUCUUCCCGAAAAAUUCUAACAAAAUAGAAACAACAUCCGAUUGGUGCGUCAAGAUUCAACCAAAAUCAAGGAAUUUCGCUCCUGUUAUUGUCACACGGAAAUAUGUUAACCCAGAAGAUACCCCUGGAGAGGAAAUGGAAAAAUUCUCAGAGAAGUUCUCUCAAGUGACCAACCGCAAACCAGUUCCACGGAAAAAGGAACUUUCUUCACAACAGAAGAAAGAGUUUACAGGUGAUCCAAGUCAACCGAAGAUCCACAGGUUUUUGAAUGUGAGUGAUGAUAAACUCCAACUUAGCACAUCUCCAUUAGGAUCUAACACCUCAACAAGUGCCCAAGAAUCCACAACCUGCUCAACUGAACAACGCUCUACCAGAAAACGACGGAAUCCGACAAUCACAACAGAUAGAGACUCUUCUACAGGCUCUAACACUAGUCGUAGAUCAAAGAGAAUUUCAAUUUCUACUUCUAGCUCUAAUUCGGAUUAAACUGAGAAUAUUUCAUAAGUAAACUUUGUUCAGGAGAUAGUUUCUUCUCUAAAUUAUACUGCAUCCUGAGAAUUUUGUUUUUUCAAAAUUGUAAUUUUAAUUCCAUAAUGAAACAAUUUUGGUCCACUGAUCAAUAAGUUGUAGGAUCGUAAAUAUUCAAGAAUGUUCCUAAAUCCAUUUGAAUUGAAACAAUGUUUGAUACAAUUACAUCCUCCUAUUCUGUUUUUAUUUUUAAAUAUACUUUUAUUUUUUGGAAAAUUGUUCUUCAAGAGUUUUUAAAAAACUUAUAUCUUAAAAUCCCUUUUGUUCACAUCUGUUAUAUCCAUUAGAAUCCAAUCAACAAUACUAAAUAUCCAUUUUUUGAAUCUAAAAUCCUUUUAUCAUUAAACUCAAUUAAUACAGAUUCAUAUUGCUAUAUCCAUAUCCUUUAGUUCGGCACCAACCAAUUUAAAUAUGCUGUAAAGAGAAUAAUAAAUUUAAAUGUUGAAAAUAUAAAUCGAUCUCAACAUAAUGUCAUUUAUCUCGAAAAUAAAAUACAUUUUAUAAUCGUGGUUCUAAUUUUUUCAGACAUUAUGAACCAGGUAACAACAAUGAUCCUAACCCUACUUGGGCUAAAUUCAGUUUCGAAGGUAACAAAACGUGUCGUUCAAAUACUAGGCCAAGAAAUUGAAUCUUUAAUUGCGAACACUCAAUGCUCCUGCAUUGGAUUGUACGAAGGAGAAGAUAGUUUUAAAUUAUCCUCCGGAACUAAUUUCUUAAUCGAUUUAGAAAACUGGAUGGAUUUAAUUACGGAAAAAAACGUAACCCUUGAUUUCAAAACCAAACUUUUGGAAAAAUUAGGAAACACCGAUUCUAAAUUAAUCAAAUAUAAUCUUAAAAAUAUAACGGAUACCUUACAGCAAAAAAUAGCAGUAAUACUUUUCAAAGAUCUCGAAAUCCAUCUAGGGAACUUUGUCAAACAAGAAAUCAAGGAAAUACAGGAAUCACUAAAAGGGGAUUGUUUCUUUAAUCUCACAAAUGAAAAACUGUCUCAUGAUUUAACAAAUAAAUUAGAUCUUGGAAGAAAAUUUACCCCCUACGUCAAUUUUAAUACUAAGCAAGAACUAGAAUCUUUUGAAAAUGAGAUUGGAUCUUUGUUUAAAAAUUUUCUUAAACAUGAAUAUAACAUUAAGUUUUCAUGGCAAACUAAUCAUUUAAAUAAAGGAUUAAGAAGCCUAAGGAAAAGUUCCCUUGUUAAAAACAAACCUAUAGUCCGUAACAAUCUUUUCACCUUUGAAACCACAUAUAAUAAAAUUAGGAAACAAUUCAAGCAUGAAUUAAAAUUAAAAGUUAAAAGGUCAACACAAAAACAUGAAAAUUUUGAAAGAACAUUUUCAUUAGGUCUAGAUAAAAUUCUCAUUGAAGCAGACAAAAAUGUAGGAUACGCUUGUAUCUACAUGAAAGACUUGUUAGAUCAAUAUGAAAAAAUAAACUGUCAGCAACAUUUUGGACUCGUAAAAAUAACGGAGAAAUGGUAUUUGAACAAUAUUACUCUAUUUCUUUCUGAAGCCCAGAGGAAUAUACCUCCUGAACUAAGUAAAAUAAUCCUGAAAUCCGACUUUGCAUGGAAAGAGGGAAACUCCGAAAUAGGUGUUCUAAGACUCCAACCUAAAGUCUUAAAAUUGAAAACUAUUAAUCAUGAAAACAUAACACACCUUACUUCACGCCGGAUAAAAAGUUCAAUGAAAGAUCCAAUCAAAAUUGUUCAAAAAAUUCUAGACAAAGUCUUUAACCAUUUACUAUUUUACAUCCAAGAAAAGUUCCAAAAUCUAUUCGGAAUUAAUUCUCCUUCAGUUACUGGAGUCAAGGAAGCCAUAGACAGGAUUAAACAAACCAAAACUGGAGAAUGGGGCAGAUCCAUAGAGCUAGAGGGAGACUUCAGUGACCUAUAUUCAAACUGCAAUGAAGAACUGUUAAUAGAAUGUGUAUCAGAAGGAUGCAGAUAUGCCAGACUCCAUGAAUCAUCUAUCUCAUAUAUUAGGUUAUUAAUUAAAUGUAUUAUGAAGCACUCAUAUUUUAAAGAGCCAUUAGGGAUUUUCAGAACCCUUAAAGGAUUUUCAAUGGGAGAUUGUUCCGCAGCUCGUGGUAGCGAGAUAAUUCUAGCUAUUUAUGAAAUUAAAAUGUUUACAAAACUUGCUAGGAAUAAUUUGUUAAAAAACGUAUUCAGAUUCCUAAGAUUCAGAGACGACGUCUCAAUUCAUAUUAGUGGAAACAGAAAAGAUAUGUUCAAUGUAGUUAAAAUAAUAGGAAACGGAUACCCAGCCAGCAUAAAAUUCAACAUGGAAUCGAAAAUUAUCCACGGGAAAUUUUUAAAUAUUCGAAUAUACAAUAACCCAAAUAGCAAUAAACCUUUUACUACUGUCCUGAGAAAAUCUAACAACAAAUAUAAUAUAAUUCCCCCAAACUCUAAUACUCAUCCCGAUAUAAAAGAAUGGCUGGCCUUAGUUACUUCAACACUGCAAGGAUGCAUACUACAACCAGAAAGGAGCUCGAAAAUCAAUACAAAGUAAUAAACACCAUUCUUAAAGGUAAAGGAUUUAACCAAUGGGAAAUCAAUAAAAUGCAAAAACAUAAAAAAUCAGAGUCUAAAGAGAAGAAAAUAUUCCUAACUAAGACGGUCUAUAAUGAAACUUCAGAAAGACAUAAAUAUGUCAUUAAAAUAUUCAAAACAUGCAACAUUGAUAAAAACAAAUAUUACAAACCAAUGGAAAUCCCGGGGAAGAAACUAGAACAAAUGAUAUUCACCAUUAAAAAAAUGCGGAACAAACUGAAGUUUUGACCACCAAACUACACAGAAAGGAUUUAUUGGAAUUGGAAUUAUUUACCUUGGUAAUUUUAUUUUUAAAAAGUUUAAAUUUAAUUAAUACCUGUGGCGGAGGCGGAGUGGGCUGGGCUGAUUCAUCAGUUUUUGCACAUUGAGUUUUCUAAGCCAUGGAUUUUUAUAUAAAAAAUGCAAGACCCAGCAUGGGUCCAGUGCCAAAGGGGCACUGGACCCAUGUAUCAAACAAGGGGUCCAGUGCCCCUUUUACAAAGAGCACAAUUUAAAAAUUUGUUUUCAUUAGAUUUUUAUUCUUCUUUAAUUCUAAACUGUGUUUUUGCAGGUGGGUUCGCCCAGGCCAGGCCAAAUCCACUCCAGAACUGAUUCAUACAACUAUCGCAGCAAUGUGAUUUUUAAUGGCUCAAUUUUUAAACUUCUUUUUAUUGUUUAAAGCUAACCUUUCUCCUUCUUAUAAUCAUUUCUAUAAUCCAAUAAAGCCUGAGACACCACAAACCUAGGAUGAUCAUUUUAGGAAAGCUAUUUGAGAAAAUAAAGGAAAGCUAUUUGAGAAAAUGAAGGAAAGUUUUUUGAGAAGAUGAAGGUUUUUGAAGGAGAAACGGAGUUUUUAAUUGUUAUUUGAUGAGCCUGUUGUUAGCCAUGAUGAGCCAGGAGCUGCCGACCAUAGCAGUGUCGAACGGGAUGUUUUGUCCUAUCCAAUCCUGCCAUUUUAGGAUUUAGUCCUAUUAACUAUACGUUUUAAGUAUUAGUUUUUUAUAAUUAAGAAGAAUAUGAGAAAGGGAAACCUAGGCUGGUCAGUCUAGAUGUAUUUAAAGAGUUUCGUGAUGGAUACCCUAGUGAUGCUCCCCACCCCUUCACAUUAAUAGGGGUAGAAAGCAUAGAAUUGCCCAGUAUCAGAAAGGAACCCUUGUCUGUUUUCCUCCUUCCCCUGCCAGUUGAACAAAGUUCAAACCAUCCCAACUGUACUAGUGGUCAGUUAAACCCGUCUCUGGAUAAAACACAGGAAUGUGAUCGUUAAUGAUAGUACAGAUGUAGAAAUGGAUGUUAAAUCACUGGCUAACUCUGAUAACAAGAACACAGAGGGGGAGGGGCAAAGGGAUGUAUCUGAAGAAUCGAUGCUGGACAUGACCAAUGGAUUGGUCCUAGAAGAUGGGGUCAAGAACCCAGACCCUGGCCUAGCUGUAGACAUAUUGGAUCAAGAAUACAACGUCAUGAACCCAAACCCAAGCUGAAACACAGAUGUAGACAUGGGGGGAAGACAGGAGCUCAUAAGAAAUUACAAUCACAAGAUUGGCAAAACCUAUACUGGAGGCAUAGAGAAGGCAUAAAGUAUAGUCAACAGACCAACCAGAGAACCUCUUAUGAGAUAUGUGAAAAUGAUCUGGCGGAUUAGAUCAGCCAAAGAAAUGCAAGUUUGGCUUGAAUUAUUUAUGCAGCCAAUGUAGGAAGAGAAAAGUUUUAGAUCCAACCAUGAGACAGCAGCAGUCGAAGAUUACAAGUCUGCGGGACAGUGCAGGCAGGCUGGUACCACUACUGGUGAUAGAAACAGGGAGAGUGGGGAGAGGCAGGACAAUACAGAGUCCUCAGCGGUAAAUUUGUUUCAUGUUGGUAAGAGCACACUCCAGUUUAGAAAGGGACAGUGACACAGGACAUAUAAGCACAGGGAAAGGUUCAUCAUAUGGUUCUACUUGAUACAAUCUUGUUAGUCCUAUUCUUUGUAACCAGGGGAUUAGGAAGAUCUACCAAACACAAGAAUACUGUGAUUCAAGGCCAUUACCCUGAGGAAGUAUUAGCCUGAAGAUUACACUGGUAGAGAGGAUGGAGUGUGUGAUAGAUUGAAGCAGCAUAUUUAGCUCAUAAUAUAUAAAGCGGAGUAAGACAUUUUUCUACAAUAGUUAAAAGCAAAAAUAUGAAUAAUAUGUUAAGUAUAAACUAUAAAGUAAGAUAAAUCAUGGAAAGAACAGGGUAUAAUUUAUUAAAUUCGAUUAAUUUAAAAAAUUGAAAUGUCCUGUCGAUGAAAUGAGGUGUCGAACUAUGAAAUGUCCCAUCUAUGAAAUGUCUUUCUAUGAAAUGUCCCAACAUUAAAAUUUUGCCUUUCUUUCUUUUUUUCUUUCAAUCCAGGUGAGUUCCUCCCUCUCUUUAAAU